CAAGCCAAUCCGUAAGUAAACUAUGAAAUCCUUGACUCAAUGUACCUUAUAGUCUAGCCAUCAUCAUUUAAAGGUUGACACACAUAGCAUCCAUCAGUCGACAUAACCAAGAACAAUGAGAUCCAAUGAUGCAAAUACCAAACUGACAAGUUAACAUGGUAAUUGGAAUACGAUUGAAAAGCUUAAGUUGGUAGUUAUGAAACCACACCUAGUAUAUCUUACCUUAUUUUUUAUUCUCUUGUCCAUGUGAAUCUAACCACCCGUGGC
rnacentral:lncRNA from 1 species